AUUGAACGCGGGCGGCAGGCCAAACACAUGCAAGUCGAACGAGUGGCGGACGGGUGAGUAAGGACUGGGAAACUGCCUGAUGGAGGGGGAUAACUACUGGAAACGGUAGCUAAUACCGCAUACCAUCGGAGGUGCCCAGAGGGGAUUAGCUAGUGGGUGGGGUAAAGGCUCACCUAGGCGACGAUCCCUAGCUGGUCUGAGAGGAUGACCAUGCACACUGGAACUGAGACACGGUCCAGACUCCUACGGGAGGCAGCAGUGGGGAAUAUUGCACAAUGGGCGCAAGCCGGAUGCAGCCAUGCCGCGUGUAUGAAGAAGGCCUUCGGGUUGUAAAGUACUUUCAGCGGGGAGGCGUUACCCGCAGAAGAAGCACCGGCUAACUCCGUGCCAGCCGCCGCGGUAAUAC
rnacentral:rRNA from 1 species